AUCUCGACACCUACGGGAGGUAGCAGUGAGGAAUAUUGGUCAAUGGGCGCUAGCCUGAACCAGCCAAGUAGCGUGAAGGAUGAAGGCUCUAUGGGUCGUAAACUUCUUUUAUAUAAGAAUAAAGUGCAGUAUGUAUACUGUUUUGUAUGUAUUAUAUGAAUAAGGAUCGGCUAACUCCGUGCCACAGCCGCGGUAAUCUGAGCGGGCUGGCAAGGC
rnacentral:rRNA from 1 species